rnacentral:rRNA from 1 species
UACGUAGGUGGCAAGCGUUGUCCGGAAUUAUUGGGCGUAAAGGAUGCGUAGGUGGUCUUUUGAGUGAGAUGUGAAAUCCCUGGGCUUAACCCAGGAACUGCAUUUCAAACUGGAAGACUAGAGUGCAGGAGAGGAAAGUGGAAUUCCUAGUGUAGCGGUGAAAUGCGUAGAGAUUAGGAGGAACACCAGUGGCGAAGGCGACUUUCUGGACUGUAACUGACACUGAGGCAUGAAAGCGUGGGGAGCAAACAGG